rnacentral:rRNA from 1 species
AUACGGAGGGUGCAAGCGUUAUUCGGAAUCACUGGGCGUAAAGGACGCGUAGGCGGGUUGGCAAGUCAGAUGUGAAAUCCUACAGCUUAACUGUAGAACUGCAUUUGAAACUGCUAACCUAGAGUAUGGGAGGGGGAGAUGGAAUUAGUGGUGUAGGUGUAAAAUCCGUAGAUAUCACUAGGAAUACCGAAAGCGAAGGCGAUCUCCUGGAACAUAACUGACGCUAAGGCGUGAAAGCGUGGGGAGCAAACAGGAUUAGAAACCCCUGUAGUCC